rnacentral:rRNA from 1 species
AAACUUCACACUGGGGGCAACCCCGAUGAGGGAAUUCCUAGUGCUUGGGCAUUUGUCCAAGCUUUUCCCGAGCGUAGAUAACUCGGGGAAUAAGGGCUGGGUAAGACGGGUGCCAGCCGCCGCGGUAAUACCUGCAGCCCGAGUGGUGGUCGAUUUUAUUGAGUCUAAAGCGUUCGUAGCCGGUCCGUUAAAUCCUUGGGUAAAUCGGGAAGCUCAACUUUCCGACUUCCGAGGAGACUGGCGGACUUGGGACCGGGAGAGGCCAGAGGUACUUCUGGGGUAGGGGUAAAAUCCUGUAAUCCUAGAAGGACCACCGGUGGCGAAGGCGUCUGGCUAGAACGGAUCCGACGGUGAGGGACGAAGCCCUGGGUCGCAAACGGGAUUAGAUACCCCGGUAGUCCAGGGUGUAAACGCUGCCGACUUGGUGUUGGGGGCCCUUCGUGGGAACUCAGUGCCGGAGAGAAGUUGUUAAGUCGGCCACUUGGGGAGUACGUCCGCAAGGAUGAAACUUAAAGGAAUU